rnacentral:rRNA from 1 species
ACUCAAAGGAAUUGACGGGGACCCGCACAAGCAGUGGAGUAUGUGGUUUAAUUCGAAGCAACGCGAAGAACCUUACCAGGUCUUGACAUCCCGAUGUAACACCUAGAGAUAGGUGCCCUCUUCGGAGCAUUGGAGACAGGUGGUGCAUGGUUGUCGUCAGCUCGUGUCGUGAGAUGUUGGGUUAAGUCCCGCAACGAGCGCAACCCUUGAUCUUAGUUGCCAGCACUUCGGGUGGGCACUCUAGGAUGACUGCCGGUGACAAACCGGAGGAAGGUGGGGAUGACGUCAAAUCAUCAUGCCCCUUAUGACCUGGGCUACACACGUACUACAAUGGUCGGUACAACGGGAAGCGAAGCCGCGAGGUGGAGCCAAUCCUUAUAAGCCGAUCUCAGUUCGGAUUGCAGGCUGCAACUCGCCUGCAUGAAGUCGGAAUUGCUAGUAAUCGCGGAUCAGCAUGCCGCGGUGAAUACGUUCCCGGGUCUUGCACACACCGCCCGU